GUCCAUCGCCAUGCUACCCUUAACAAGUCCAAUGCUGUCUGAUCUCGGAAGCUAAGCAGGGUUGGGUCUGGUUAGUACUUAGAUGGGAGACCACCUAGGAAGACAGGUGCUGUAGGCA
rnacentral:rRNA from 1 species